rnacentral:rRNA from 1 species
CCUACGGGAGGCAGCAGUGAGGAAUAUUGGUCAAUGGGCGGAAGUCUGAACCAGCCAUGCCGCGUGCAGGAAGACGGCUCUAUGAGUUGUAAACUGCUUUUGUACAAGGGUAAAACUGAAUACGUGUAUUCGGCUGAAAGUACUGUACGAAUAAGGAUCGGCUAACUCCGUGCCAGCAGCCGCGGUAAUACGGAGGGUCCAAGCGUUAUCCGGAUUUAUUGGGGUUAACGGGUGCGUAGGCGGGUCGUUAAAUUAGGGGUGAAAUGUCCGAGCUUAACUCGGGAACUGACUCUAAUACUGGUCAUCUAGAUAGUAGAUGCGGUAGGCGGAAUGUAUGGUGUAGCGGUGAAAUGCUUAGAGAUCA